CUGUUAGCGUGGGUAUGCUUGAGAUAACGGGGACUUUGGGGGUAUUUCCGGUAUUAAAAACUGAUAUGUGGCGGGAGUUGACGUGGCCAAUUAUGCGCCACUUGGAGCUCAGAUACUGCAACGCUUUCGAGUAUUUGUUAUGUGUGAAAUUUCUCGACACGUUUCGGGUUGACUGUAGGUAUCCCCAUAAACGACGUCGCAG
rnacentral:misc_RNA from 1 species